rnacentral:rRNA from 1 species
AUUGAACGCUGGCGGCAGGCCUAACCCAUGCAAGUCGAACGAGUGGCGGACGGGUGAGUAAUGUCUGGGAAACUGCCUGAUGGCGGGGGCUAACUACUGGAAACGGUAGCUAAUACCGCAUACCAUCAGCUGUGCCCAGAUGGGAUUAGCUUGUUGGUGGGGUAACGGCUCACCAAGGCGACGAUCCCUAGCUGGUCUGGGAGGAUGACCGGCAGCACUAGAACGGUGAAAGGGACCAGAGUCCUGCGGGAGGCAGAGGUUGGGAAGAAUGCAGGAUGGGCGCAAGCCUGAUGCAGCCAUGCCGAGUGUAUGAAGAAGGCCGUCGGGUUGGAGAGUACUGGCGGCGGGGAGGCGUUACGCGCAGAAGGAGCGCCGGCUAACUCCGUGCCAGCCGCCGCGGUAAUAC